ensembl:snRNA U6 U6 spliceosomal RNA
GUGCUCGCUUUGGCAGCACAUAUUACUAAAACUGGAACGAUACAGAGAUUAGCAUGGCCCCUGUACAAGGAUGACAUGCAAAUUUGUGAAGCGUUCCAUAUUAAA